ACUGAUCCAUGCCCUGGUCUAUCAGAGAGGGGUCCUGAGAGCCCCAGGCUCAGAAUUACACGCUCAGUGACAGUCGUUUCACACUGGUGCUUGUGACUACAACUGUGUAAUUCUUAGAGCCCUGAAAAGCUGCCCUGGUAAACCCUCACCGUGUGAGUGAGAACUCUGCAAACCUAAAGCUCCACUUCCAGAUUUGUAAAUAACAGCCUUUCUGUUGAAUCCUGGAAGGCCAGCGAAGUCCUGCACGCCGCUCUGGGAUUUUCCAUCCUGUGGCUGUUUACAGUCACACCAAGUGAGAGUGAAACAGGAGCACCCCGAGCUUGCCGUGUUUUUCACAGCUUUACACCAACUCUACAAAACUGAGCUCAGGGCAACACUGUGAAGAACAAGAUCCCUCGUGUUUUGCCUGGGUUUUGUAAAGACAGCUUCAAAAUAUUCAAUAUUCCAAGGGGGAGGCAGAGGAUACGGAAAAAGUCCUGUAAAGUUUAUUCUUCCUUCAGCACAAGGCGCUGCGAGCUUUGGAGCAAGGUGUGAGGGCCAGGCUUGAUGAGAUGGUCGGGCUUGCAGGGCAGUGUCAUUUGUCCUGCAAGCAGGAGCCCAAAAGUGCCAGAUCUGGGUACCUGAUGUCUGCUCUGCAGUUUUCUGGGCACAGGCAGCAGUGGUGACACGAGACACAAGACCCUGGUAGAGGACAAACUUACUGCUUGGCCUCAGACUCUAUUUAAGAUGACUUUACUCAUUUUUUUUGGCACUCACUGCAGGGUAGGAAGUACCUGCGAGUUCUCCCCAUCUGCCAUGUGCUCUGAGGGUUCACUGCAGUUGUUCUGAACCAGGUGUGGCCACAAGAACAAAACCACCGUUGUGCUCGGGCCCUGGGCUGGCUGCUCAGCGGGGUGGCCACAGACUCGAGCUCCCUUGGAGGGGCUGCCUGCGGUUUCACCUUGUUUGAUGUCCCAGGCUGGGCUGCGCUGCUGGAGUUGUGCUCUGCACAUGCAAGCUGUGCCUCGAGAGUGGCAGCUCCAGCUCCAGGCUGUGUGCAGCGAGCUGCAGGGCCCUGCUCUGCAGCCUGAUGGCUCGGUCGUGUUCACUGACAGCCAAAGCGGCUCUUCAUCACCAAGUGGCCAAGUCACAGAGCAGGAAAUACAGCAGAGCCAUUUUAUCACACAGGUGACAUUUGCAAGCCUUCUGCACGCUGAGAUGUAACUUAAAAAUAAACGUGUGAAGUGCUGCUUUCCAGCAAGGGAGGAUGGACAGGAAGAUGUGUCUGUCUCUUCAGUCACUACAAGAAGCACUGAUGAUGUGUUUUCCAUUUUCCAGUUUGCCAGGCAAACAAGCACCAGGCACCGAUAUCAAAACCAGCCCAGAUUCCAAUGAAAACCAGCAAAGAGUAGAAAGGAAACUGCUUCAUUUUCCUUGCCCAACACAAUUAGCACUUCAAGAAUGCUGAGAGUCUGCUCUUAACUACCAAUAAAACCAGUUGGAUUUACCAGUGCCAUUAACCAGGUUAAGUGCCAGGAUUCAAGUGGAUUGGAAGAAAAGCUGUUUGGAUCACCAGAACAUGACUUCUGCUAGUCUGAGGGAUCCUAAAAUGGUGUGACAAUGAGCGUGUUCAAUGGAUGUAGAUGUGCUGCUGAAAGGCAUUCCAGCACCUCUGUGGGCAAGCUCCAGAACAGAAAAUUAAAAGGGGAAAGAAAAAAAAAUCCCAAAGUAGUAACCAGCUUAAUUUAUUUAACAAAUUUUUUUACCAAAAAAUAAAGAACUGAGUGCAGAGUCCAUCAUGUUUCUGUUUGUCAUCUUUGGGGGUAUAAAUCUUAAACACUGCUGAUGUUUUACUGCCAGGCACUCCAAGUCCUGCUGCUCUGGGGACAUUUGGGACACAGCACAACCCCAGGCUGCAGGAGGGAGGCUUCCAGCUUGGCAGAGGCUCCCAUUAGGGCAGGCAAUAAAAACACCUCCCACCACUCAGCUGGAAUCCUCUGUGGCUUUGGGAUUCUGUCACCUUGGACCGUUAAAGGUGGAAAAUGAACAAGUUCUAACAGCAAAGCCCUACUCAAAGAGUCAGUGUCUCCUUUGAGCAGAUUCCAGUGAGUUACUGCAGGGCUGGGGUACAGGGAAGGUGCCGAGGCAGUGAACACCCACCUCCAAUAAAACUCAAUAUGCCAAUGACUGAAAAAUAAAUCAAAUUACUUGGCAAAUAAAAAUGCAAUUCUGUGACUGCAAGGAAGCUGGCA